AAGACUAUACUUUCAGGGAUCAUUUCUAUAGAAUGUGACUAGAGAAGUUUCUCUGAUCCUACAGAGCACCCAAAGCCACGAGGAGGAGCCAGAGCAUCCUCUCCUGAGCAUGAAGCCGGCUCUAGUUUUCACUUCUGUGACUGCCUUUUGCCAUUGAUGAUCUUCUUCCCUUCCUUUGGAAGAGGUGGGGAAAGAGGAUGCAGUCUGAGUGGU